ensembl:misc_RNA 7SK 7SK RNA
UGAUCUCCUGGCACAAUGUGGCUAUGAUAUGUGUCACAUUGAUCACCAGGGUUGAUUCUGCUGACCUGGUUGUGUAGGCAGCUAUUCCCUUCCUCCCUCACCGAUCCAUGUGAGACCCUCCUGAACUGUAUGCUUGGUCUGAGAGAACAAAGAGGGUGGCUUUCCCCAACGAGAGAUGAAACAGUCUUUGGUACAGAGUGAGACGUUCCUCUGCAAGAACCUCCAAACAUAUCCUGGUAACCAGUUCUCACUUAAAAUACAGCAGUGAAACAUCAUUUUGAUCCCCAAAGCAGGAAUGGACUCUACUAAAAAAGAAAAGUAUAGAACUGUAU